rnacentral:rRNA from 1 species
UGAGGAAUAUUGGACAAUGGAUGGAAAUCUGAUCCAGCCAUGCCGCGUGCAGGAAGACGGCCCUAUGGGUUGUAAACUGCUUUUGUAUGGGAGCAAUACGGUCUAUGCGUAGACUGAUGAGAGUACCAUACUCAUAAGCAUCGGCUAACUCCGUGCCAGCAGCCGCGGUAAUACGGGGGAUGCAAGCGUUAUCCGGAUUUAUUGGGUUUAAAGUGUGCGUAGGCGGUUUGAUAAGUCAGCGGUGAAAUAUUUCAGCUUAACUGAAAGGGUGCCGUUGAUACUGUCAGGCUUGAAUAUGGUUGCUGUGGGUGGAAUGUGUGGUGUAGCGGUGAAAUGCGUAGAUAUCACACAGAAUAUCGAUUGCGAAGGCAGCUCACAAAGCCAUUAUUGACGCUGAUGCACGAAAGUGUGGGGAUCAAACA